GUGGGGAAUAUUGCGCAAUGGGGGAAACCCUGACGCAGCGACGCCGUGUGAGGGAAGAAGGCUCUCGGGUCGUAAACCUCUGUCAGAAAGGAAGAACCUCUCAUAUCCGAACAGGAUGUGGGACUGACGGUACUUUCAAAGGAAGCACCGGCUAACUCCGUGCCAGCAGCCGCGGUAAUACGGAGGGUGCAAGCGUUAAUCGGAAUCACUGGGCGUAAAGCGCGCGUAGGCCGCUUUGUAAGUCGGACGUGAAAGCCCUCGGCUCAACCGGGGGACUGCGUUCGAUACUGCGAGGCUUGAGUCCUGGAGAGGGUGGCGGAAUUCCGGGUGUAGGAGUGAAAUCCGUAGAUAUCCGGAGGAACACCGGUGGCGAAGGCGGCCACCUGGACAGGUACUGACGCUGAGGCGCGAAAGCGCGGGGAGCAAACAGGAUUAGAAACCCCAGUAGUCC
rnacentral:rRNA from 1 species